AUAUGAGCAUGUAUGGGCCUGUGUCAGCACCCUCCCUGACAACCUCCACCGUUGUAUCAAAUGAAAUGGCAAAACCAAAGACUUGAAAACAUAAGGAUGAUUCUGAAUGUAUAACGCAGUGUGGAUACCAGUGUGGAAGCAGAAAAUAUCACCCAAUCUAUACUUCCAGAGAGAACCAAAACAGCAAACAUGACUGAAGAAUGGUAGCCUUAUUCUGAUGGACCUGCACUAUUUCUUGGAACUCUGAAAGCUCUACAGUGCUCCUGCCAUGACUCUUCUAUGUGACUCAUGAAAGCAGAUGACUGUUUGCCUUGCUGUUUAUGCACAUUCAUCUACUCAGAACUGAUUCUGUCCGGAUGACAUUCACUGAUAACACAAUAAAACAUUCCCUGAUUUCUCUUUGGGUAGUUGAUAAAUUCUUUUGGGACACUAAGGAAGUCUACAACUUUCCUU